ACUCAAAUGAAUUGACGGGGGCCCGCACAAGCGGUGGAGCAUGUGGUUCAAUUCGAAGCAACGCGCAGAACCUUACCAGCCCUUGACAUGGGCAUCGCGGUUCCGAGAGAUCGGGACCAUCAGUUCGGCUGGAUGCCACACAGGUGCUGCAUGGCUGUCGUCAGCUCGUGUCGUGAGAUGUUGGGUUAAGUCCCGCAACGAGCGCAACCCUCAUCUUCAGUUGCCAUCGGGCGAGCCGGGCACUCUGGAGAAACUGCCGGUGACAAGCCGGAGGAAGGCGGGGAUGACGUCAAGUCCUCAUGGCCCUUACGGGCUGGGCUACACACGUGCUACAAUGGCGGUGACAGCGGGGAGCGAUGGGGUGACCCGGAGCCGAUCCCGAAAAGCCGUCUCAGUUCGGAUUGCACUCUGCAACUCGAGUGCAUGAAGUUGGAAUCGCUAGUAAUCGCGGAUCAGCACGCCGCGGUGAAUACGUUCCCGGGCCUUGCACACACCGCCCGU
rnacentral:rRNA from 1 species